GCCAGACUCCUACGGGAGGCAGCAGUGGGGGAUAUUGCACAAUGGGGGAAACCCUGAUGCAGCGACGCCGCGUGAGUGAAGAAGUAUUUCGGUAUGUAAAGCUCUAUCAGCAGGGAAGAAAAAAGACGGUACCUGACUAAGAAGCCCCGGCUAACUACGUGCCAGCAGCCGCGGUAAUACGUAGGGGGCAAGCGUUAUCCGGAUUUACUGGGUGUAAAGGGAGCGUAGACGGCAAUACAAGUCGGAAGUGAAAUACCCGGGCUUAACCUGGGAACUGCUUUGGAAACUGUAUGGCUGGAGUGCUGGAGAGGUAAGCGGAAUUCCUAGUGUAGCGGUGAAAUGCGUAGAUAUUAGGAGGAACACCAGUGGCGAAGGCGGCUUACUGGACUGUAACUGACGUUGAGGCUCGAAAGCGUGGGGAGCAAACAGGAUUAGAUACCCCAGUA
rnacentral:rRNA from 1 species